GGGUUGUGAGGUUAAGCGACUAAGCGUACACGGUGGAUGCCCUGGCAGUCAGAGGCGAUGAAGGACGUGCUAAUCUGCGAUAAGCGUCGGUGAGGUGAUAUGAACCGUUAUAACCGGCGAUUUCCGAAUGGGGAAACCCAGUGUGUUUCGACACACUAUCAUUAACUGAAUCCAUAGGUUAAUGAGGCGAACCGGGGGAACUGAAACAUCUAAGUACCCCGAGGAAAAGAAAUCAACCGAGAUUCCCCCAGUAGCGGCGAGCGAACGGGGAGGAGCCCAGAGCCUGAAUCAGUGUGUGUGUUAGUGGAAGCGUCUGGAAAGGCGCGCGAUACAGGGUGACAGCCCCGUACACAAAAAUGCACAUAUUGUGAGCUCGAUGAGUAGGGCGGGACACGUGGUAUCCUGUCUGAAUAUGGGGGGACCAUCCUCCAAGGCUAAAUACUCCUGACUGACCGAUAGUGAACCAGUACCGUGAGGGAAAGGCGAAAAGAACCCCGGCGAGGGGAGUGAAAAAGAACCUGAAACCGUGUACGUACAAGCAGUGGGAGCCUCUUAAUGGGGUGACUGCGUACCUUUUGUAUAAUGGGUCAGCGACUUAUAUUCUGUAGCAAGGUUAACCGAAUAGGGGAGCCGAAGGGAAACCGAGUCUUAACUGGGCGUUAAGUUGCAGGGUAUAGACCCGAAACCCGGUGAUCUAGCCAUGGGCAGGUUGAAGGUUGGGUAACACUAACUGGAGGACCGAACCGACUAAUGUUGAAAAAUUAGCGGAUGACUUGUGGCUGGGGGUGAAAGGCCAAUCAAACCGGGAGAUAGCUGGUUCUCCCCGAAAGCUAUUUAGGUAGCGCCUCGUGAAUUCAUCUCCGGGGGUAG
rnacentral:rRNA from 1 species